UACGUAGGGACCAAGCGUUGUCCGGAAUCAUUGGGCGUAAAGAGCGUGUAGGCGGCUUGUUAAGUCUUGCGUGAAAUCUCGGGGGCUCAACCCCGAGCGGUCGUGAGAAACUGGCAGGCUAGAGUGCGGGAGAGGAGAGUGGAAUUCCUGGUGUAGCGGUGAAAUGCGCAGAUAUCAGGAAGAACACCCGUGGCGAAGGCGCUCUCUGGAACGCAACUGACGCUGAGACGCGAAAAGCGUGGGGAGCAAACAGG
rnacentral:rRNA from 1 species